UACGUAGGGUGCAAGCGUUAAUCGGAAUUACUGGGCGUAAAGCGCGCGCAGGCGGUCCUUUAAGUCUGUUGUGAAAGCCCACGGCUCAACCGUGGAGGGUCAUUGGAAACUGGGGGACUUGAGUGCAGAAGAGGAGAGUGGAAUUCCACGUGUAGCGGUGAAAUGCGUAGAGAUGUGGAGGAACACCAGUGGCGAAGGCGACUCUCUGGUCUGUAACUGACGCUGAGGCGCGAAAGCGUGGGGAGCAAACAGG
rnacentral:rRNA from 1 species